UGGGGAAUAUUGCACAAUGGGCGAAAGCCUGAUGCAGCGACGCCGCGUGAGGGAUGACGGCCUUCGGGUUGUAAACCUCUUUCAGCAGGGACGAAGCGAAAGUGACGGUACCUGCAGAAGAAGCACCGGCCAACUACGUGCCAGCAGCCGCGGUAAUACGUAGGGUGCAAGCGUUGUCCGGAAUUAUUGGGCGUAAAGAGCUCGUAGGCGGCUUGUCGCGUCGGUUGUGAAAACCUGGGGCUCAACCCCGGGCCUGCAGCCGAUACGGGCAAGCUAGAAUUCGGUAGGGGAGACUGGAAUUCCUGGUGUAGCGGUGAAAUGCGCAGAUAUCAGGAGGAACACCGGUGGCGAAGGCGGGUCUCUGGGCCGAUAUUGACGCUGAGGAGCGAAAGCGUGGGGAGCGAACAGGAUUAGAUACC
rnacentral:rRNA from 1 species